rnacentral:rRNA from 1 species
GACAGAGGGGGCAAGCGUUGCUCGGAAUUACUGGGCGUAAAGGGCGCGUAGGCGGGAUGGCAAGUCGGUCAUGAAAUCCCUCGGCUCAACUGAGGAGCGUCGAUCGAAACUGCCGUUCUUGAGGGUUGCAGAGGAGACUGGAAUUCCCGGUGUAGCGGUGAAAUGUGUAGAGAUCGGGAGGAACACCGGUGGCGAAGGCGGGUCUCUGGGCAACUCCUGACGCUGAGGCGCGAAAGCGUGGGGAGCAAACGGG